rnacentral:tRNA from 1 species
AAUCAUCGUUGUAAUUCAACUAUAAGAAC